UUAUCUUCAUCCUCCUUCUUUCCUUCUUCCAGCAAAUGUAUUUGGGGAACUCACUGUGUGCUGGGCACUUGAUCCAGAAGUCAUACGGUGGGCUUAGAGGUGGCCAAAUUGAGUGCAAAUGAGCAUCAGCGGAAGGAGACAUGGUCUUUUGGAAUACUUUAGCAAGACCUGAAGAUAGAAGAAUGUGUUGUUUAUGUAGAAAUGCAUAAACCCUCAGGCAGAUGUAUGGAGGAACCAUCAAAGUAUACCAUAUUUUAAAAGUGUCUAUGAGAUGUAGGUGAUGUCCAAAAAAGACCAGUGUGGGGAAGGACUAUGGAGUGGCAAAAGGAAGGGAGAGAGAACAAGGAGGAGAAGAAUCAAUAAGAAAGUCAGAAAAAAUACCUGUUGCAUUUUAUCUCAUAAAAUCACAGUUCUCUCUGAUAAAACUCUCUAAAUAUGAUAAGAAAUAUGAUAAUUUACCUUAA